GAUGAACGCUGGCGGCGUGCCUAACACAUGCAAGUCGAGCGAACAGACGAGGAGCUUGCUCCCCUGACGUUAGCGGCGGGCGGGCGAGUAACACGUGGAUAACCUACCUCUAUUACUGGGAUGACUUCGGGAAACCGCAGCUAAUACUGGAUCAUAUAUUGAACGGCAGGGAUCAAUAGUGAUUGACGGCUUUCCUGUCACUAAUAGAUGGUUCCGCGCCGCAUUAGCUAGUUGGUAAGGUAACGGCUUACCAAGGCAACGAUGCGUAGCCGACCUGAGAGGAUGAUCAGCCACACUGGAACUGAGACACGGUCCAGACUCCUACGGGAGGCAGCAGUGGGGAAUAUUGGGCAAUGGGCGAAAGCCUGACGGAGCAACACCGCGUGAGUGAUGAAGGUCUUCGGAUCGUAAAGCUCUGUUAUUAGGGAAGAACAGAAGUGUAAUAAACUAUGGCCGUCUUGACGGUACCUAAAGAGAAAGCAACGGCUAACUUCGUG
rnacentral:rRNA from 1 species